GACGAACGCUGGCGGCGUGCUUAACACAUGCAAGUCGAACGGAAAGGCCCUGCUUUUGUGGGGUGCUCGAGUGGCGAACGGGUGAGUAACACGUGAGUAACCUGCCCUUGACUUUGGGAUAACUUCAGGAAACUGGGGCUAAUACCGGAUAGGAGCUCCUGCUGCAUGGUGGGGGUUGGAAAGUUUCGGCGGUUGGGGAUGGACUCGCGGCUUAUCAGCUUGUUGGGGGGGUAGUGGCUUACCAAGGCUUUGACGGGUAGCCGGCCUGAGAGGGUGACCGGCCACAUUGGGACUGAGAUACGGCCCAGACUCCUACGGGAGGCAGCAGUCGGGAAUAUUGCACAAUGGGCGGAAGCCUGAUGCAGCAACGCCGCGUGCGGGAUGACGGCCUUCGGGUUGUAAACCGCUUUCGCCUGUGACGAAGCGUGAGUGACGGUAAUGGGUAAAGAAGCACCGGCUAACUACGUG
rnacentral:rRNA from 1 species